rnacentral:rRNA from 1 species
GAUGAACGCUGGCGGCGUGCCUAAUACAUGCAAGUCGAACGAGGUCUUCGGACCUAGUGGCGAACGGGUGAGUAACACGUUGGUACCUACCCCGAAGUGGGGAAUAACUGCCCGAAAGGGUGGCUGAUACCGCAUAAUACCGCAAGGUUAAAGCAGUAAUGCGCUUCGGGAGGGGCCUGCGUUCCAUUAGCUAGUUGGUAGGGUAAUGGCCUACCAAGGCGACGAUGGGUAGCUGGAUCGAGAGGUUGACCAGCCACACUGGGACUGAGAUACGGCCCAGACUCCUACGGGAGGCAGCAGUAAGGAAUCUUCCACAAUGGACGAAAGUCUGAUGGAGCAACGCCGCGUGCAGGAUGACGGCCUUCGGGUUGUAAACUGCUUUUAUACGGGAAGAUUAUGACGGUACCGUAUGAAUAAGGACCGGCUAACUACGUGCCAGCCGCCGCAGUAA